rnacentral:rRNA from 1 species
GACGAACGCUGGCGGCGUGCUUAACACAUGCAAGUCGAGCGGUAAGGCCCUUUCGGGGGUACACGAGCGGCGAACGGGUGAGUAACACGUGGGUGACCUGCCCUCAGCUCUGGGAUAAGCCUGGGAAACCGGGUCUAAUACCGGAUAUGACUCCAUGACGCAUGUUGUGGGGUGGAAAGCCUUGUGCGGCUGAGGAUGGGCCCGCGGCCUAUCAGCUUGUUCGGUGGGGUGANGGCCUACCAAGGCGACGACGGGUAGCCGGCCUGAGAGGGCGACCGGCCACACUGGGACUGAGACACGGCCCAGACUCCUACGGGAGGCAGCAGUGGGGAAUCUUGCGCAAUGGGCGAAAGCCCUGACGCAGCGACGCCGCGUGAGGGAU